rnacentral:rRNA from 1 species
GAUGAACGCUGGCGGCGUGCUUAACACAUGCGAGUCGAACGGGAAACCUUUUAUUGAAGCUUCGGCAGAUUUAGCUGGUUUCUAGUGGCGGACGGGUGAGUAACGCGUGGGUAACCUGCCUUAUACAGGGGGAUAACAGUCAGAAAUGGCUGCUAAUACCGCAUAAGCGCACAGAGCUGCAUGGCUCAGUGUGAAAAACUCCGGUGGUAUAAGAUGGACCCGCGUUGGAUUAGCUGGUUGGUGGGGUAACGGCCCACCAAGGCGACGAUCCAUAGCCGGCCUGAGAGGGUGAACGGCCACAUUGGGACUGAGACACGGCCCAGACUCCUACGGGAGGCAGCAGUGGGGAAUAUUGCACAAUGGGGGAAACCCUGAUGCAGCGACGCCGCGUGAAGGAAGAAGUAUCUCGGUAUGUAAACUUCUAUCAGCAGGGAAGAUAAUGACGGUACCUGACGAAGAAGCCCCGGCUAACUACGUG